GAAGAUUGUUAGCUUCUAAAAUGCUUGGUUUCCUGUGAGUGGCCCCUGGCUGGAGAGCUUUGUUAUUGUUAUCUCUGAAAGGGGUCAGAACAAAAUAAAACAAAACAGUCUGUCCCCCCACUGUCCCCUUUCGCCACUCAGGAGUGAGGAAAUUACAAAAAAGUAUUGAUUGGGACAACAGUCAAGGGUGACACAGAGUCAGCGGUGUCCUGGCAUGUAGAUAAGGACGGAUGUGCGAUAUUGUCUCGUGUUUUCUCUGUAUUGUGUGAUUUUUAGAAAUAUCCUUAAGCGCCUGAGGUUUGCCUUGACUCUGUGUAAGGCGAAGUGUGCCUCUGCUCACGCCUUACGUGUGCAAGGGUGUUCACCUACAUCGCUAGAGAAGGGAUAUUUUUCACUGUGGAUACUUUUUUUGUUUGGAGGAAAACAAUCGUAAAGGAGUUCUUUUUUAAAGGGGCAACUGAUUUGGUGGGUCUGCUAAUUUGAUUGGCCAUGAUAACCAAAGUAGCCGUUCCAGUAGGAAGAAAUAUAAUCACUACACUGUCCACCUGAAACGCGUACAGUAAGGACAAGCAAAAAAAAAAAAAAAAAA
rnacentral:lncRNA from 1 species